rnacentral:rRNA from 1 species
CCCUACUGCUAUCGGGGUGGGACUAAGGCAUGCUAGUCGAGCGCCUUGAGCUAUGGCGAGGCGCGGCGUACAGCUCAGUAACACGUGGCUAACCUACCCUUAGGACGGAGACAACCCCGGGAAACUGGGGCUAAUAUCUGAUAGGUGAGGAGGCCUGGAAUGGUUCUUCGCUGAAAAGGCGUUGAAACCAUGCUUUUCAGCGUCGCCUAAGGAUGGGGCCGCGUCCGAUCAGGUUGUUGGUGGGGUAACGGCUCACCAAGCCUAUAACCGGUACGGGCCGUGAGAGCGGGAGCCCGGAGAUGGGCACUGAGACAAGGGCCCAGGCCCUACGGGGCGCAGCAGUCGCGAAAACUCCGCAAUGCGCGAAAGCGUGACGGGGCUACCCCGAGUGCCGUCCGCUGAGGAUGGCUUUUCCCCGGUGUAAUGAGCCGGGGGAAUAAGGAGAGGGCAAGUCUGGUGUCAGCCGCCGCGGUAAUACCAGCUCUCCGAGUGGUAGGGACGAUUAUUGGGCUUAAAGCGUCCGUAGCCGGCUUAGCAAGUCUUCUGUUAAAUUCAGCGACCUAAUCGUUGAGCCGCGGGAGAUACUACUAGGCUAGGAGGCGGGAGAGGCCGACGGUAUUCUCGGGGUAGGGGUGAAAUCCUAUAAUCCCGGGAGGACCACCAGUGGCGAAGGCUGUCGGCUAGAACGCGCUCGACGGUGAGGGACGAAAGCUGGGGGAGCGAACCGGAUUAGAUACCCGGGUAGUCCCAGCUGUAAACGAUGCGGGCUAGGUGUUGGGGUGGCUACGAGCCACUUCAGUGCCGCAGGGAAGCCAUUAAGCCCGCCGCCUGGGGAGUACGGCCGCAAGGCUGAAACUUAAAGGAAUUGGCGGGGGAGCACCACAAGGCGUGAAGCUUGCGGUUC